CCAUUUCUUUCCAUCUUCUCGAGCAAGUUUCACUCGCCGACUCCCCCCUCCUUUCUCUCGAGCAACUAUCCCCUCUAUCAAUUUUUCCUGCAGUCUUGUUUUCUUUCUCUUUUCAUUUGCUGCUCCCAUUUUUAAUUCACUUUCUCGGCAGCCCCAUCUUCGUUCAAUCCCCCACCGAAAACCAGUCGUUCCCCACUCACGCUUCAGCCCCACUAAUUCCUGCUCACCACCGAAGCAUCUCUCUCUCUUCAUGCCGUUCCACUGAAGUCCCUCGCACCUUCAACGAGUUCAACGCCAGCGAGCUGCUGCCUUCGUCCAUCUCCACGUCGACGCUGCAGCUCCACUUCGGCUUGCCUUCACCGGUCAACAAGCCAGCGCCUCCUCCACCAGCGUUGAUUUCGUUGACCCUGCUAGCCCACGCAACUGCCUGCCACGAUCGAAGCCCAACUCUCCAUCUUGUUGACCGCAGCUCCUUCGCACGUUGUCCAGCUCUGAAGAUCAACGAAGACCGCUGCAGUUGCCACGUUGAAGCCAUCAGCCACCGAAGAAGCCCGCCGAAGUCAGCCCACGCAUAUUUUUCUCCCAGCCCGUGUCUUUAGCCCAUCUUCUCUUCACCAUUUGAAGCCGAAGCCCAGCCCAGUCCAAUUGAAAUUACACCAACAGCAGCCCACAAGCCCAGUUGAGUUCAGCGAAGCCCAGCCCAUCGUUCAGCCCUCAAAAAUUUCAGAUGCCCAGAUCAAGCUCAGCCCAAGAAUUUCAGUAGGCCCAAGCCCAGAAUUUCUGCAGGCUUGCAAAGUUUCUUGGCCCGGCCCGAAUGUCCGCCAACGCCGCCAGAAAUUUGGAUUUCGGCCGCCAUCGCGUCGCUGUCGCGGUGUUCCAGUCUUCGCUUUGCCAAGACCCUAAUGAGGAGCCUGAGGAGGAGGAAUCUAAAGAGGAGAACUCUAAUGUGGAACCAGAUGAGAAGGAAGAUUUUGGAGAAGAAGAUGACCAUGAGGAGGAUCCUGAGUAUGACCCAAAUGAGAACUGAGAUCCCACCCUAUUUUGCCAGACCUUGAUUAUAUGUUGAUAAGUGUUAGAUCAGACCCCUAUGAAUAGUAUUGCAUUAUAUACUAUGAGGUGCUUGUAUAAAAGAGUGGUUAUGAAUUUCAGUAUGAAAAUUAUGGCCUUACUUUUCUA